AGCGUACACGGUGGAUGCCCUGGCAGUCAGAGGCGAUGAAGGACGUGCUAAUCUGCGAUAAGCGUCGGUAAGGUGAUAUGAACCGUUAUAACCGGCGAUUUCCGANCACACUAUCAUUAACUGAAUCCAUAGGUUAAUGAGGCGAACCGGGGGAACUGAAACAUCUAAGUACCCCGAGGAAAAGAAAUCAACCGAGAUUCCCCCAGUAGCGGCGAGCGAACGGGGAGCAGCCCAGAGCCUGAAUCAGUGUGUGUGUUAGUGGAAGCGUCUGGAAAGGCGCGCGAUACAGGGUGACAGCCCCGUACACAAAAAUGCACAUGCUGUGAGCUCGAUGAGUAGGGCGGGACACGUGGUAUCCUGUCUGAAUAUGGGGGGACCAUCCUCCAAGGCUAAAUACUCCUGACUGACCGAUAGUGAACCAGUACCGUGAGGGAAAGGCGAAAAGAACCCCGGCGAGGGGAGUGAAAAAGAACCUGAAACCGUGUACGUACAAGCAGUGGGAGCNGUGACUGCGUACCUUUUGUAUAAUGGGUCAGCGACUUAUAUUCUGUAGCAAGGUUAACCGAAUAGGGGAGCCGAAGGGAAACCGAGUCUUAACUGGGCGUUAAGUUGCAGGGUAUAGACCCGAAACCCGGUGAUCUAGCCAUGGGCAGGUUGAAGGUUGGGUAACACUAACUGGAGGACCGAACCGACUAAUGUUGAAAAAUUAGCGGAUGACUUGUGGCUGGGGGCGAAAGGCCAAUCAAACCGGGAGAUAGCUGGUUCUCCCCGAAAGCUAUUUAGGUAGCGCCUCGUGAAUUCAUCUCCGGGGGUAGAGCACUGUUUCGGCAAGGGGGUCAUCCCGACUUACCAACCCGAUGCAAACUGCGAAUACCGGAGAAUGUUAUCACGGGAGACACACGGCGGGUGCUAACGUCCGUCGUGAAGAGGGAAACAACCCAGACCGCCAGCUAAGGUCCCAAAGUCAUGGUUAAGUGGGAAACGAUGUGGGAAGGCCCAGACAGCCAGGAUGUUGGCUUAGAAGCAGCCAUCAUUUAAAGAAAGCGUAAUAGCUCACUGGUCGAGUCGGCCUGCGCGGAAGAUGUAACGGGGCUAAACNAUGCUGGAGGUAUCAGAAGUGCGAAUGCUGACAUAAGUAACGAUAAAGCGGGUGAAAAGCCCGCUCGCCGGAAGACCAAGGGUUCCUGUCCAACGUUAAUCGGGGCAGGGUGAGUCGACCCCUAAGGCGAGGCCGAAAGGCGUAGUCGAUGGGAAACAGGUUAAUAUUCCUGUACUUGGUGUUACUGCGAAGGGGGGACGGAGAAGGCUAUGUUGGCCGGGCGACGGUUGUCCCGGUUUAAGCGUGUAGGCUGGUUUUCCAGGCAAAUCCGGAAAAUCAAGGCUGAGGCGUGAUGACGAGGCACUACGGUGCUGAAGCAACAAAUGCCCUGCUUCCAGGAAAAGCCUCUAAGCAUCAGGUAACAUCAAAUCGUACCCCAAACCGACACAGGUGGUCAGGUAGAGAAUACCAAGGCGUUUGAGAGAACUCGGGUGAAGGAACUAGGCAAAAUGGUGCCGUAACUUCGGGAGAAGGCACGCUGAUAUGUAGGUGAAGUCCCUCGCGGAUGGAGCUGAAAUCAGUCGAAGAUACCAGCUGGCUGCAACUGUUUAUUAAAAACACAGCACUGUGCAAACACGAAAGUGGACGUAUACGGUGUGACGCCUGCCCGGUGCCGGAAGGUUAAUUGAUGGGGUCAGCGCAAGCGAAGCUCUUGAUCGAAGCCCCGGUAAACGGCGGCCGUAACUAUAACGGUCCUAAGGUAGCGAAAUUCCUUGUCGGGUAAGUUCCGACCUGCACGAAUGGCGUAAUGAUGGCCAGGCUGUCUCCACCCGAGACUCAGUGAAAUUGAACUCGCUGUGAAGAUGCAGUGUACCCGCGGCAAGACGGAAAGACCCCGUGAACCUUUACUAUAGCUUGACACUGAACAUUGAGCCUUGAUGUGUAGGAUAGGUGGGAGGCUUUGAAGUGUGGACGCCAGUCUGCAUGGAGCCGACCUUGAAAUACCGCCCUUUAAUGUUUGAUGUUCUAACGUGGACCCGUGAUCCGGGUUGCGGACAGUGUCUGGUGGGUAGUUUGACUGGGGCGGUCUCCUCCUAAAGAGUAACGGAGGAGCACGAAGGUUGGCUAAUCCUGGUCGGACAUCAGGAGGUUAGUGCAAUGGCAUAAGCCAGCUUGACUGCGAGCGUGACGGCGCGAGCAGGUGCGAAAGCAGGUCAUAGUGAUCCGGUGGUUCUGAAUGGAAGGGCCAUCGCUCAACGGAUAAAAGGUACUCCGGGGAUAACAGGCUGAUACCGCCCAAGAGUUCAUAUCGACGGCGGUGUUUGGCACCUCGAUGUCGGCUCAUCACAUCCUGGGGCUGAAGUAGGUCCCAAGGGUAUGGCUGUUCGCCAUUUAAAGUGGUACGCGAGCUGGGUUUAGAACGUCGUGAGACAGUUCGGUCCCUAUCUGCCGUGGGCGCUGGAGAACUGAGGGGGGCUGCUCCUAGUACGAGAGGACCGGAGUGGACGCAUCACUGGUGUUCGGGUUGUCAUGCCAAUGGCACUGCCCGGUAGCUAAAUGCGGAAGAGAUAAGUGCUGAAAGCAUCUAAGCACGAAACUUGCCCCGAGAUGAGUUCU
rnacentral:rRNA from 1 species